rnacentral:rRNA from 1 species
GAUGAACGCUGGCGGCGUGCCUAAUACAUGCAAGUCGAGCGAACAGACGAGGAGCUUGCUCCUCUGACGUUAGCGGCGGACGGGUGAGUAACACGUGGAUAACCUACCUAUAAGACUGGGAUAACUUCGGGUAACCGGAGCUAAUACCGGAUAAUAUAUUGAACCGCAUGGUUCAAUAGUGAAAGACGGUUUUGCUGUCACUUAUAGAUGGAUCCGCGCCGCAUUAGCUAGUUGGUAAGGUAACGGCUUACCAAGGCAACGAUGCGUAGCCGACCUGAGAGGGUGAUCGGCCACACUGGAACUGAGACACGGUCCAGACUCCUACGGGAGGCAGCAGUAGGGAAUCUUCCGCAAUGGGCGAAAGCCUGACGGAGCAACGCCGCGUGAGUGAUGAAGGUCUUCGGAUCGUAAAACUCUGUUAUUAGGGAAGAACAAAUGUGUAAGUAACUAUGCACGUCUUGACGGUACCUAAUCAGAAAGCCACGGCUAACUAUGUG